ACAGGUGCUGCAUGGCUGUCGUCAGCUCGUGUCGUGAGAUGUUGGGUUAAGUCCCGCAACGAGCGCAACCCUCGUCUCCAGUUGCCAUCAGGUUAAGCUGGGCACUUUGGAGAAACUGCCGGUGACAAGCCGGAGGAAGGUGGGGAUGACGUCAAGUCCUCAUGGCCCUUACGGGCUGGGCUACACACGUGCUACAAUGGCGGUGACAAUGGGAAGCAAUGGCGCGAGCCGGAGCCGAUCCUUAAAAACCGUACUCAGUUCGGAUUGCACUCUGCAACUCGAGUGCAUGAAGGUGGAAUCGCUAGUAAUCGAGGAUCAGCAUGCCUCGGUGAAUACGUUCCCGGGCCUU
rnacentral:rRNA from 1 species